GAGUUUGAUCCUGGCUCAGAGUGAACGCUGGCGGCGUGCCUAAUACAUGCAAGUCGAACGGUAACAGGAAGUAGCUUGCUACUUUGCUGACGAGUGGCGCACGGGUGAGUAAUGCAUAGGUUAUGUGCCCCAUAGUCUGGAAUAGCCACUGGAAACGGUGAUUAAUACCGGAUACUCCCGAGAGGGGAAAGUUUUUCGCUAUGGGAUCAGCCUAUGUCCUAUCAGCUUGUUGGUGAGGUAAUGGCUCACCAAGGCUAUGACGGGUAUCCGGCCUGAGAGGGUGAACGGACACACUGGAACUGAGACACGGUCCAGACUCCUACGGGAGGCAGCAGUAGGGAAUAUUGCUCAAUGGGCGAAAGCCUGAAGCAGCAACGCCGCGUGGAGGAUGAAGGUCUUCGGGUUGUAAACUCCUUUUCUAAGAGAAGAUUAUGACG
rnacentral:rRNA from 1 species